AGCGUCGUGCAGCCAUGGAAGCAUCGGAGUGAUCCAGGUGUGGAGGCUGCGCGAGUGAGAAUGCAGGCAUGAGUAGCGAAAGACGAGUGAGAAACUCGUCCGCCGAAUGACCAAGGGUUCCUGGGCCAGGUUAAUCCGCCCAGGGUGAGUCGGGACCUAAGACGAGGCCGACAGGCGUAGCCGAUGGACAACGGGUUGAUAUUCCCGUACCCGUGUAACCGCGCCCAUGGUGAAUCAGUGACACUAACCACCCUGAAUCUCGUUGAUCGUGUGCCUUCGGGUACAUCGACUGCGGGUGGAUGCGUGGGACCUGAUCUGGUAGUAGCCAAGCGAUGGGGUGACGCAGGAAGGUAGCUGGGCCAGUCAGUGGUUGUACUGGUGUAAGCCUGUAGGGCGAACGGUAGGCAAAUCCGCCGUUCAUCAAGCCUGAGAGGUGAUGCGUAGCCGAUUGAGGCGAAUUCAGUGAUCCUAUGCUGCCGAGAAAAGCCUCUAGUGAGUUGUUACACGGCCCGUACCCCAAACCGACACAGGUGGUCAGGUAGAGAAUACUAAGGCGAUCGAGAUAACUAUGGUUAAGGAACUCGGCAAAAUGCCCCCGUAACUUCGGGAGAAGGGGGGCCUCGUCCGGUGAUCACUCUUGCAGUGUGAGCUGGGUGGGGCCGCAGAGACCAGUGAGAAGCGACUGUUUACUAAAAACACAGGUCCGUGCGAAGUCGUAAGACGAUGUAUACGGACUGACGCCUGCCCGGUGCUGGAAGGUUAAGAGGACCGGUUAGCUCGUAAGAGCGAAGCUGAGAAUUUAAGCCCCAGUAAACGGCGGUGGUAACUAUAACCAUCCUAAGGUAGCGAAAUUCCUUGUCGGGUAAGUUCCGACCUGCACGAAUGGCGUAACGACUUCUCAGCUGUCUCAACCAUAGACUCGGCGAAAUUGCAUUACGAGUAAAGAUGCUCGUUACGCGCGGCAGGACGAAAAGACCCCGGGACCUUCACUACAGCUUGGUAUUGGUGUUCGGUUCGGUUUGUGUAGGAUAGGUGGGAGACUGUGAAGCGGUGACGCCAGUUACUGUGGAGUCGUUGUUGAAAUACCACUCUGAUCGUAUUGGAUACCUCAACCUCGGACCAUGAUCUGGUUCAGGGACAGUGCCUGGUGGGUAGUUUAACUGGGGCGGUUGCCUCCUAAAAUGUAACGGAGGCGCCCAAAGGUUCCCUCAGCCUGGUUGGCAAUCAGGUGUCGAGUGCAAGUGCACAAGGGAGCUUGACUGUGAGACUGACAAGUCGAGCAGGGACGAAAGUCGGGACUAGUGAUCCGGCACCGGCAAGUGGAAGCGGUGUCGCUCAACGGAUAAAAGGUACCCCGGGGAUAACAGGCUGAUCUUCCCCAAGAGUCCAUAUCGACGGGAUGGUUUGGCACCUCGAUGUCGGCUCGUCGCAUCCUGGGGCUGGAGUAGGUCCCAAGGGUUGGGCUGUUCGCCCAUUAAAGCGGCACGCGAGCUGGGUUUAGAACGUCGUGAGACAGUUCGGUCUCUAUCCGCCGCGCGCGUAAGAAACUUGAGGAAGGCUGUCCCUAGUACGAGAGGACCGGGACGGACGAACCUCUGGUGUGCCAGUUGUUCCACCAGGAGCACCGCUGGUUGGCUACGUUCGGAAGGGAUAACCGCUGAAAGCAUCUAAGCGGGAAGCCUGUUCCAAGAUGAGGUUUCUCACCCCCUCGAGGGGGUAAGGCCCCCGGCAGACCACCGGGUUGAUAGGCCAGAACUGGAAGUCGGGUAACCGAUGCAGGUGACUGGUACUAAUAGGCCGAGGACUUACCACAA
rnacentral:rRNA from 2 species